rnacentral:rRNA from 1 species
UACGUAGGGGGCUAGCGUUGUCCGGAUUUAUUGGGCGUAAAGAGCGUGUAGGCGGCCAGGUAGGUCUGCUGUGAAAACUCGAGGCUCAACCUCGAGACGUCGGCGGAAACCAUCUGGCUAGAGUCCGGAAGAGGAGAGUGGAAUUCCUGGUGUAGCGGUGAAAUGCGUAGAUAUCGGGAGGAACACCAGCGGCGAAGGCGGGCAUCUGGGCCAACACUGACGCUGAGGCGCGAAAGCUAGGGGAGCAAACAGG